AAGACUCUCCUUUCAGGAAUCUUUUCUAUAGCUCAUUCCUAGAGAAGUCCCUCUGUUCGAUGUAGCGCUCCUGAAACCCGAGGAGGAGCCCAAGCAUCCUCUCCCAAGAGUGACCCAGGUUCCAGGUGUGGCUUUUGCAACUGCCUUGUACUACUGAUGAUGUCUUCUCUUCCUUUGGAAGAGUGAAGGGGGAGAGGAUGCAGUCUGAGUGGU